rnacentral:rRNA from 1 species
AAAUACUUUAAAUUGAAUUCUAUUGCCAAAAACAAACGCACCAAGGCGUCAUCGAGAAAAAAGAAAUAUAGAACCAAGUUCGUUCGCCACUACUAUCGGUUUCCCUGUUGGUUUUUCUGACUGAUAUAGGAGGUUUCCAGUUUCAGCUUUUUUUGAAUUCUUUGUUUCCUGUAGGAGAUCUGCUUUGAAUAAAUCCAACAAAGCAGCCUUUCGUAUUGACACGUCCUAUUCGCUGGUGUAGAGGCAUCCACUCCGUGCCCAU